rnacentral:rRNA from 1 species
AGUGAACGCUGGCGGUAGGCCUAACACAUGCAAGUCGAACGGCAGCACAGAGGAGCUUGCUCCUUGGGUGGCGAGUGGCGGACGGGUGAGGAAUACAUCGGAAUCUACUCUGUCGUGGGGGAUAACGUAGGGAAACUUACGCUAAUACCGCAUACGCCCUACGGGUGAAAGCAGGGGAUCUUCGGACCUUGCGCGAUUGAAUGAGCCGAUGUCGGCUUAGCUAGUUGGCGGGGUAAAGGCCCACCAAGGCGACGAUCCGUAGCUGGUCUGAGAGGAUGAUCAGCCACACUGGAACUGAGACACGGUCCAGACUCCUACGGGAGGCAGCAGUGGGGAAUAUUGGACAAUGGGCGCAAGCCUGAUCCAGCCACACCGCGUGGGUGAAGAAGGCCUUCGGGUUGUAAAGCCCUUUUGUUGGGAAAGAAAUCCAUCUGGUUAAUACCCGGGUGGGAUGACGGUACCCAAAGAAUAAGCACCGGCUAACUUCGUGCCAGCAGCCGCAGUAA